AACCAGAGACUCGAAAAAUUUGUGUUUUACAGACAAAUUUGAACAUUCAGUAUUCCUGAUGUUCUCAAAAACUUCGUUUGAGUCAUGCAUGCAUUACAACAAGAAGAUAGUUACACGCUAUCAAAAAACGACGUAUGUGCGUGUUCUCCGUUUUGAGUGUAGUAUUCGUUAUCCUCUCUCCGAGGUAUAGAGAUAAGUGACUUUUCACCUACGCAAACUAGUAAACGUGUAAACCCGUGUAAAGCUGCUUUUGUUUCUUCCAACCUGUAAAUCAUCGCAUCUCGUUGUUUCGACUUUUAUCACUUUUUCACGGUUGUCCGACUUUUCCUAGAAAACCAUUCCCCAGAAAAUAAAGUGUCGAAGGAUUUUCCCCAGAAUGAACCAUUCUCCAGAAUACCAAAUCCCAGAAUAUACUAGUUACCAGAAUUCUAAACCCCUGAAAGUACUAGUUACCAGAAAACCGUUAAAAAUGAAAAAUUUCUAAAACGCCAUUCGACUAUUAUCUAAACCUAUCCUAUUUUAUAGAAGCAUCAGAAUUUUUGGUGGUUGGUAAUAUACCGACACUUAAUGCUAAUAAUGAUCAAAAGAUAUUAUCGCCCACACUGUCCAUAUAUAAUACUGAAAAUGUUGCCUUUGGACGAGAAGAUGUUCCUCCGAUUGAUGAAAUUGAAACAGUGGAAAUAGUGACAACCCCUAGCAUAAUUCUUGAACCUGUUCAAACAGUUACGCAGCAUAACGGAGACAGUAUUACCUUUGAACAACCAACUUUAUUUACCCAUCACAUUGAUCAGGUGACAAAUACUGAAAUAUUGGAAAAGAUUGAUGAGGCCAAAGCUGAACAUGUUUCCACCGUGUUACAAGCAAUGGAGAACAUUGCAACAUAAACCAUCUCCGUUCUGAAAAGCGAUUUUGAUACAAAAAUGCAGUAUUUACAGAGCGCUAGUUCUUCUCAGGCAGUGGAGAACAGUUUUGUCUUUACACCUGUUUCAACCGUCGAGCAGCUACUCGAGCUCGAAUGUAAGCUAGAAGAUCCGGUAUAUGCAAAAAAUGUGUGUUUUAUAGAAAACUUUCAUGCUAAACCACAUCGGCAACACAGCAGAUACCGUGAACGGGCAAAAUUCUUGCUAUGAACUCGUCGACAAAUUUUUCGACAGAAAAUUGAUGCUGCUGUGCUCGUGGACGGGAGCAAGCAAGACGGAAACAAAUAAGUGCGCACUACGGGUACACAAGAACACUUUUUACAAUAUUAUCAAAGAUAUAAAUGCGAGCUUUACUGUCAAAUUAAUGGAGGAAUUCUUCAAGCCUGCACAAGAAACUCAAGAAAGCGCAGCGAAGCAAAGGGGUUGAGAUGCUCCACCAUUCACCGCAGAUCAAAAUUGCAAGCUGUUUCAGUUGUAAUCAAUGCUAAUGAAGACAGUACACUUACACCGACUGGAACUGAAACUGGCACAGAUGAGGAAAAUGAAUACAUCGUGUAACAAGUAC